GCAUUUUAAAGAAGGAAUGCUUUGUGGCCUGCCAGCAGCUUCUUUUCAUCGAGGCUGUGGACUUUUCAGAGGCUACCUGUCUUUUACUUAAUAGGUACUAAAUUUUCAACUUAGCUUAUGCAGACCCUGUCUGGACAACACUGGAAUUUCUUCAUAGGUAAACCAUAAGACAUGGUGUGAUCGGCAAAAUAAUUUCCACCUGUAUAUGUUCAGAAUGGCUGGAUGUUCAUUUGGCAAGUAUAAUAGUAUGUAUGCACACUUCCUGUCAAGGCUAUGGACUGUCUCACUCUUUGUAGGAAGCAUAGUGAAUGCAAUGAGCUCAGCUGAGAAAUAUCAGGCUAUGUUACCACAGGAGGCGUUUUAUUGCUUUACUGUAAUCUACGUGCUAAACUUGAAAUGACACUGUUAUCUGGGGCAAUGCAUGCCACAGGAAGAUGUGCUUUUCACAGUGACAUGCUACAACAUUUGACCAGCUAGCAGAAUCGCAAUGUUUACUGACCAGUACCAGCAGCUGCUUCCACUAAACUGCUGAAGAAACGCAAGACAGAGUUCAAGCAAAGCAUGCACGACCAUGUUUUUUUUAAAAUAUUGCACGCAGUCAGUUGCAUUACAUUACAAGUUAGUGAAUCGAAUACACAGUUAAGUACUGGGUAAACAAAAACAGAUGUGCAUAUUUAUUGUCCCAGCUUGAACAUCUAUACAGGUCAGAAAAACAAGCCUCGUUACACUUUAUUUACAAAUUCACACAUCCAUAGUAGGCUUCUGCGAGUAGUGAAUUUUAAGUUCAAAGUGAAUAGUAAUUUAUCUGGAAUAAUUUUAAAUCGAAUUCGAAUAGUGUAUUUCACAUAUUAUAAAAAAUGGCCAUGUUCAUCGUCAUCCAACCAACUUGCACAAUAUUAUUUUCAAGUGAAACAAGGCGCGUGCAAAUGUCGGUCUUUUUGGUUCAAAGGAAGUGCAAUUAACUUUGAAUAGUGCUAGCAUAAUUCGACUUUCUGCAGAAUGCAAGUGAUAAGUAGUAAAAUAUGUUAGAUUUUAAGAUUUGUUAUACUUGGAGCAUAUAAGCCAGCAUAACAAUCUUUUAAAGUUGAAAACGAAAAAUUGAUUCGAGGGCAAUAUGUCAAUUUAACCUAUAAAAGUAAGGCUUUGCAGCAGUGCGAAUUAUUUCUGCAAAGAAGUUUUCAUGGCAUAGCACUUUUAUACAGCAGUGAAACUACUUUUUGCAGGGGAUUACCUGCACCUAUGUGUUGCACGUAAUUUUGGGCACAUAAUUUUCAAUAAUUUAUAUUGGAAUCAAAAUUAUUUAAAAUGCAUUAAUAUUCAUUUGAACAUUUGUCGUGCUCGAGUAU